rnacentral:lncRNA from 1 species
GGAAAAGUCAUAUCUAGAAGCACAUAAGCAACUAUAUAUAUAUAUUCAAAGCUUCACUACCAUAAAAUCCACAGCAUGCAGAUGAAAAAGGAGAAGCAAGUACUUUUACCUAUCCAUCUAAACAUAAUAACUUUUAGCAACCAACAAAUCCAUCCAUUAUACCUAGAACCUAAACUUACAAAGCAGGGUGUACUUCGUACUCAAUGAUAAGGCAUUAGACUAAUUCACUUGCCCUCUACAUGCACAAUUUACAAAACAAACAAGUUGGUCCAGUUAUGUUAUGGCCAGAUUUGGCCCUGGUAAUCUUAUAGAAGGCGCGCCCUUUUCGGAGGUAAUUCCGAGGGCGCGGCCUCCUGGCAGGGGGGAGCAUGUCAGUGGAGUAUCUUGAAUAGCCAUGGGAAGAAGACCAAGGGCGCGCCCUUGGCGGGGUGAUCCCGUGGGCGCGGCCUUCGGAUAUUAGAAGACAUGUCUGACCUGUUGAGACGACUCAUGGGACAAGACAUCGAAGAUGAAGGGCGCGCCCUCAGGGGUCGCGCCCACAUGUGGACGCAUUGAAUGAGAGGGCGUACCCCUUGGAGGUGUAACCUCUAUGAGAGGGCGUAGCCCUCGGAAGGCUUGGCCUAUGUGAUAGGGCGCGGCCCUCGGAGGUGUGACCUCUUUGAGAGGGCGUACCCCUUGGAGGUGUAACCUCUAUGGGAGGUGUGACCUCUAUGAGAGGCUUGAACUCAAUGAGAGGGCGUAGCCUUUGGAGGUGUAACCUCUAUGAGAGGCUUGACCAUAUUUGGCCACAUUUGGUCACGUGAAUUGGGAGAGGGCGCGCCCUCCGCGGGUAAUCCGGGAGGCGCGGCCCUUUGUCUCAAGAGCACGAUGUCACGUGUCUGAAGUGUGAAGAGAAUGAGGAACAAGGAUCAAGGGCGCGCCCUCCGUGGUCGCGCCCACAGGUGAUGAAUAUGUGUGAGGUUGAGUGAGUCUCGACGACGACCCUUCCGAGGGAUACGAAGACCUACCCUUCCGAGGGAUAUGAAGACUAGUGCCAGAGCUCAUCUGGUAGUUAUCAGGCUCAUCUGGUAGUUCCCGGGUUACGUCCGGGCAUGAUCUAUAAUCCCCAGUCCUGCUAUCUGCCGGGUUGUCCUCGUGCGGGGGCCUGGGGUGAUCAUGGUUGUAGAAGGCCCUCAGGGGUAACACGAAGGCCGAUCAUAUGUCCGGGUCCUGUAUUCUGGUGAGUUAGUCCUCAUUGGGGGACUGGGACGAUCGUGUAACUUGGCUCCUCAUUGGCCUUACCUCUUAGUGAGAACCUUCACUAGGGGGUAAGGGCGCGUCCCUACACCACAAGGAAUUGGUCACGGCUCUACCAGACGUCUCCUCCAUGCUACGAAAAGUAGCGGUUAGUGUCAUCUCUCGUAGUGGAGAUGAUGCCGUAUCCGUGAUGUACUUGGACUAGGAGUCUGAGGUAGUUGGCCUCAAGGCUUAAUUCUAACUGGAGUAGGACUCUGAAGGCGUUGGACGUCUAAGAGAUAAGUCACCACCUCAGGGUUGGUCUUAUCCCCAAGAGGCCUAGUCCUGAUCAAACUAGGAGUCCUGGUUCAAUAGAACUACGUAUGGCUUGAUCCCCUAUAAAUAUAGGGGUACGUAGGCACAUUGGGGGAUCAUGAGUUGAGAGCACGUGAGACCAACUCAAAACCCUAAUCUCAGCCACCCCCUAAAACAAACAACCACCACUCUCCGGCGACCAAAACCACCGUCACGGAUCUUGAUUCCGGCCAUGAACCUCAUCUUUGUUGAUUACCAAAUUCCUCUAUCAACAAAUUGGCGCUAGAAGGAGGGGCUAUUCAAGAUCUUCAUCUUAGGAGGAAGAGAUGUCACACGACGGAGAUUCGCACGUAGAGGAGGAGCGUUUUCCGGCAGGGCGAUGGCUAGAGCACAAAAGAGGAGGAGACCUUCAUCUACUUUUUCAGGAAAAGGACGAUAUCUCCAUCGGGAGUUUGAAGGAGGACGAUCAUCAACGAAAUUCUAGGAGGUAACCUAAUUUGCGAUCAGGGUUUUCUGGACCGGGGAGUCAGCGAAGGAUGUGAUUUUCGGAGACCUGACACCUACGAAGAGGGUACGCCUCCCCCGGACAGAAGAACCUAGGUGGAGGGAGUAUGGACUUUUCCAAGCUUAUACGGUGGGUUGGAAGUCGAGAAAUGAAGCGAAAAGAAAGAAAAUCACGAGCGCCCUAGAGCGCCCUGGUAGCGCCCGGGGUCUGCCCAUGUGGAGCGCCCGCGCCCUGGAGCGGCGCGCCCGCGCCCUGGGUGCGCCCUGGUAGCGCGCCCGCGCUACCCCGAUUGUGGAAAGUUUCGUUUUUUAGGUCCGUUUGGAUUAGCUGCUGGCCCGGUCAACUUAGGGCACUUAAAUAUGAAUUAAAGGAAGAAAAAGCCCUAAACACCUCCCCCGGAUAGAGUACACCUCCCCUGGACAGGGUACACCUCCCCCUGACAGGGUACGCCUCCAAGUGAUGUGGUGCUCAAUUACCACCGUGAGGAACGAAUUCCCUAACACCUUCGAAGAAGGCGCACCUCCGGGUAAUACGGUGUUACCUUUAUGAGGAGUACACCUCUUUGCCGUGAGGAGUAGUCGCAUUUUCCUCCAACAAGACAAACAUACUCAGGAAGGAGCUCACUAGUCUUGAAGAGGUCACGUCCCUCCCUAGGGCGCGCCCUCUCGGAAGUACUCAUCACUUGAGGAAGCGCAUAAGGGCGCGCCCCCAGGAUAAUAAGGUUGAGAAGGGAGAUGCUUCAAAGACGCGCCUCCUUCUAGUUGGACGCACCCCGAGUUCCAAAGUCAUGUUUCCAGGGUUGAUAAUUCGGGAGGACACGCCUUCCCCCUAACAGGGCACGUCAUGAGGUAACACUGACCGCCAUUAUUAAGUGGUAUACAUGAUUGAGUGCAGGUCAAGUCCGACAUGCUAAAGGAGCUGUCCAUCUUGAUGAGAGCGCGUCCUCCGUUCAUCAUGAACGUAGCAUGAUACCUACAAGGUCUUUGACCAUGAUACACUUAAGGCCUUUCAAAAGUUGCCUAAUUAUCAAUGACCAGCUCUGGGUGCUAUGAAUUUUAACCAUCCAUGAUACGCUCUGGGCACUAUAUUUGCGCGCUCUGGAUCUUACAUAUCCAUGAUAUGCUCUGGGUAACGCUUUAUACUAUUGAUUCCCCAUUAAGCUAUGAGCUCUGGGACCCGUGCGAUGCACCGGAGUUAUAUAAACCACGAUAAGAUUCGUGAUGCCCCAUAGUGGGAUGAUGUAUGGACGUGGGGAGUGGUCCUUUUGUAUUUUCUUAAGCAAGUGAUUCACGCGUAGAAAAAGUAAGGCUGCGACCAAAGGCCGCGCCCUCUGCUUAAUCCUUAGGAAAAGAUACAAAAGACGCCCACAUUACCAGUAAGGCUGCGCCGUAGGCUGCCGAGGGGUCGCGCCCACAUGUGGACGCAUUGAAUGAGAGGGCGUACCCCUUGGAGGUGUAACCUCUAUGAGAGGGCGUAGCCCUCGGAAGGCUUGGCCUAUGUGAUAGGGCGCGGCCCUCGGAGGUGUGACCUCUUUGAGAGGGCGUACCCCUUGGAGGUGUAACCUCUAUGGGAGGUGUGACCUCUAUGAGAGGCUUGAACUCAAUGAGAGGGCGUAGCCUUUGGAGGUGUAACCUCUAUGAGAGGCUUGACCAUAUUUGGCCACAUUUGGCCACGUGAAUUGGGAGAGGGCGCGCCCUCCGCGGGUAAUCCGGGAGGCGCGGCCCUUUGUCUCAAGAGCACGAUGUCACGUGUCUGAAGUGUGAAGAGAAUGAGGAACAAGGGUCAAGGGCGCGCCCUCCGUGGUCGCGCCCACAGGUGAUGAAUAUGUGUGAGGUUGAGUGAGUCUCGAUGACGACCCUUCCGAGGGAUACGAAGACUUACCCUUCCGAGGGAUAUGAAGACUAGUGCCAGAGCUCAUCUGGUAGUUAUCAGGCUCAUCUGGUAGUUCCCGGGUUACGUCCGGGCGUGAUCUAUAAUCCCCAGUCCUGCUAUCUGCCGGGUUGUCCUCGUGCGGGGGCCUGGGGUGAUCAUGGUUGUAGAAGGCCCUCAGGGGUAACACGAAGGCCGAUCAUAUGUCCGGGUCCUGUAUUCUGGUGAGUUAGUCCUCAUUGGGGGACUGGGACGAUCGUGUAACUUGGCUCCUCAAUUGUCUUAUCUCUUAGUGAGAACCUUCACUAGGGGGUAAGGACGCGUCCCUACGCCUCAUGGAAGUGGUCACGACUCUGUCCGAUGUCUCCUCCAUGUUACGAAGAGUAGCGGUUAGUGUCACCUCUCGUAGUGGAGAUGAUGCCGUAUCCGUGAUGUACUUGGACUAGGAUUCUAAGGUAGUUGUCUCAAGGCUUACUUCUAACUGGAGUAGAACUCUAAGUGAUAAGUCUCCGACCCACGGUUGGUCUUAUCCCCAAGAGGCCUAGUCCUGAUCAAACUAGGAGUCUUGGUUCUAUAGAACUACGUACGGCUUGAUCCCCUAUAUAAAGGGGUACGUAGGCACAUCAAGGGGAUAUAUCGAGAGUUGUGAGAACGAGAGCAGAAAUAUAUUCCCUUGAUCUCAGCCACCCUCAAACAAACAACCACCACUCUCCGGCGACCAAAACCACCGUCACGGAUCUUGAUUCCGGCCAUGAACCUCAUCUUUGUUGAUUACCAAAUUCCUCUAUCAACAAGUUAUAAACACAUUUGCCACAAUUCUGCCCGACUCUUCCUUUCCCUUAAAUGACCCUGCAAAAGAUUGCCAAUGUCAGUCUAAUAAGCACUUGAUAACAUUUGUGAACUGUAGCAAAGUUCUUUAGAGAACCAUAUUUCACCUAGGCAUUGCAUUAUAUUACUAAAAGAUGAAACAUAAAUAAUUGUGGCUCUUUCAUUGGCAGAAAUAGCGGCUUCUUUAAGUAGAAGUCCAGUUGAGAAGCUCAAUCACCGUAUGGGAAAAAAAGCAUACCACUCUUUAUGGGUUUUAGAAACCAGAAUUGAGAAGCUUGAAGUUGUAGCUUUUUUUCUUAUGCUUCUCACCUUUUUGACCUGCUGUUCUGCAUUAAUAUGCCCACACUCUCUUUCUGUUUAUUUUAUCCAGCUUUAACUUGUUAUUCUAAUUGCUUUAGUUUUAGUUUCAUUAGUUGGAAAACGAUAAAUGUAUUGCACUAGCAAGAAACAGUAUCAUGUGAAUUGUGUCUCUGGCCCCUGUUGGUUCUUAUGUAAUUGCAUUUUAAGCGAGUUUCUUAGCAAGUUUAUCUAUUAUCAAUCCAAAUUCUUUUAAAAAUAAUAUUAUAAUGUACCAAACACUGCACGAACUUAUAAGUCAAAUUAUCCAAACAAUAAAAGAAACUUAUAAGUUCAAGUAACCAAACACUUAAAUUAAUGUAUGACAAAUUAACAAUGAGAUGAGAAUAGUAUUAUUAUUGUUAUACACACGCACUAACAAAAUCUCCUUUACAAGUCCUAAACAAUGAGUAGAAUACAAUACAAGAUGAAAAUCUUACAAAUAUUCCUCUAUUGGAUAAAUUGAAUUUCCUUUUCUUAGUUAGACUAGCUGGUAAAAGCAAAAAUAUAAUAACAAUAAUCAAAAAAAUUCUGCAAGAUAACGGUAACAUGGUAGAUCCACAAAAAAACCAGGGUGAUGGAUCCAUACAUCACACGUACUAGAGUGUCUGAUAUACUAUAAAUGCCGAUAUCACAGAGGAUACUAAAUCUUCAACAUUUUUCCUGUUUUAGGAUUUAGAACACAAUGAGAAUAUAUUGGGAUGACAGUAUUAUGUUUAUAAUUACUGCAGGGCCUGAUAAAGGAACAAUGUAUGUAAGUUAACACAUUAGAAUGGGAGCACAGAUAUCACUGAGACAAUGACAUUGAUGAAAGUUCUGAUUUAUAUUACAGGGGGGAAAGUAUUCUAGUGACAAGCACAUUGUAACGGACAAGUCAAAGUGUCCAAGCUACACGCAAUCUAGCUAAGAUAUUGAAAUGAAAGAUGCCAAGGGGAUCAAGCAUUGAAUCCUAAUAACGCAAACAGGGUAGGAGCAUAUUAACAAUGUUUGUCGAAAAUAUUGAGUAAACACAAGGCAACCAUCUGUGAUUCUAUUUUUAAGUAUGCUAAUAAUCAGAUACUCAAAAACUACUAUUAAUAACUAAGACUAGAGAGCAAAGAGGGUGUUGAUAUAUGUCUAAGAAGUUGGAAAGUGCCUAUAUACUGCAACUAGUCUGCAAGUAAUGGUAAUAACUAUAUAUGUAAGUACGUCGUCCAUCAACUCUAACUUGAUCCACAAACUUAAGUUAGCCAAGUGAGAUUACAGGAGCAGAGAUAUCACUUAUCCAAACAAUGUAUGUAAGUUCACUUGUUUAAAUAAUUAGAGUGAAUUAGGAAGUAUAUAUACAAUGAAACUACACUUGCCAAAAAAAAUAAACUCGAAAAAUAAACAAACAAUAAUUCUACGAAAUGGAGCAUUCUUACACAAUAUUAGAGUUACUUACGACUUCAUUCUUGUGAUUGAAACCCCUCAAGGGAAACAAGGCUCUGAGUGAACUUGGCAACUGACUUGACAUCGGUGAGAUGAGCUGGGAAAGGAAGCUUCUUAGUCGUUUUCUUUGUGUAGUUGUAAAAUUUGUAUCCAAAAACAAAAUUGAGUCCAAGAAAGUGUUGAGCGCCCAAAUAAAGAUACGUCCGAUCCAACUCCAAAUCCAUUUCAAGAUUGAACUUUUUAAUCCACAAGCCAUCAUCAUCUAACAUCCAAAGACUCAUAACUGAUUCAUCCCCAGCAGAUUCAUAUACCAUAGCCACAGAACCUUCAAAAUCCAAAAUCUUAGACUUCUUUAUCCUUUUCUGUUCCACGUAAUCAGGAAACGGUAACACCACAAUUUCUCCAAACAAAUCAUUCCGCAAAUCAAACGGCAAUAGCUCACCCUCCCCUUCCAUGUACAACUUCCCACUAAUAUCAGGACCACAGAAUCUCUUCAGCUUAUGCCAAAAAGACAUUUUAAUAGUAUCCGGAGUACGAAUCAUUUUCCAGGUAUCAGCAUUUGCGGAAUACAACUGUGCUUCUGAGAAGUUACCCAUGUUAAUAAUAGAACCCCAUGUGUUACGGACAACCUUUGUUACAAUCCUAAGAAUCUUGUAGUCAUUUCCAACAGAAUCAAACCCAAACCCUAGACAAACCCCGACUUGAUUGAUUUCAUAGUUGGGGGCAUAAAGCAUCUUAUACUGUCUAGUACAUGGAUUCCAAAUACAAAUAUCAUAGCUACUUUCAUUGGAAAGACAAACAAGACCAUUACAAGAACGCAUGUAAUAAACCAUACCCUCAAGACGUGAUGGCAAUUUAAGCUCAACUGAUUCUUCAACAGUGUCCAUGGAGAAAACCCUCCAAUAAUAAGAGGCUUUGAGCACGGAUGCUUGUUUGUUCCUGGAAUUGGCAAGGUGGGCUUCAACAAACUGUGGGCUUGUUAUGAUGGACAGCCAGGUUUUGCAGACUGAUUUGAAGCGGAGAAGUGAUAUUACAGGAAGAUGGGAAAGUAUGAGAAAAACCAUCUCUUCGGAGAAAUAAUUAGUCGCCAUUGAGCCCUAGGAUGUUGUGUGUAUUAUAUAACAUUCAAAUGUGCAUCAGAAAGAUAAACAAGACCAUUACAAGAAUGAAAAUAACGAACCAUACUCUUACAGCAUGAUGACAAUUUGAACACUAUUAACGGCCGGUGUACUUAUUUUCUCUUGGAAUUAAGGUGGACUUCAACAAACUGAGGGUUUGUUAUAUAUAAAGAAUAGAUAGGUUUUACAAACUCAAAGCUGAAGGUGAUAUCACAAGAAGAUAUGAAUGUCGAAUAUUAUUUCUUCACAUAAAUAAUAGAUAGAUCUUUUACUCCUUAUUCAGCUGUAAUGAUGAUGAUAAAGUUGCGUUUUAGGGUUCCCGUUAUCGAACCCUAAUAUAUAUAUCCGUUGUAUUUAUUCUUACAAAUUCUGUAAAUUAUUUUAAGCUUUCUUUUCAAAAGGUUUAUCAAAGAGUUUAAAAUUAUUAAGAAAAUUAUAUACAAAAAUUUCAACCUAUUUUACAACAAAGCAGGGUGUACUUCGUAGACUCAAUGACAAGGCAUUAGACUAACCCCCUUGUGCUCUCUACAUUACACAAAUUUACGAAACAAACAAGCUGGUCCUAUUAUAAACACAUUUGCAGCAAUUAUGCUGGACUCUUCCUUUCCCAGAUAUGACCCUGCAAAAGAUUACAAGAAUGUCAGUCUAAGAAUAUCUGAUAACAUUUGGAAAAAAUGAACUCGAAAAGAAAACAAACGAUAAUUCUAUGGAAUUGAGCAUUCUUUCUUUCACAAUAUCAAAGUUACUUACCACUUCACGCUUGUGAUUCAAACCCCUCAAGAGAGACAAGGCUCUCAGUGAACUUGGCAACCGACUUGACAUCGGUGAGAUGAGCGGGGAAAGGAAGCUUCUUAGUGGUUUUCUUCUUGUAGUUGUAAAAUUUGUAUCCAAAAAUAAAAUUAAGUCCAAGAAAGUGUUGGGCGCCCAAAUAAAGAUACAUCCGAUCCAACUCUAAAUCCGUUUCAAGAUUGAACUUUUUAAUCCACAAGCCAGCAUCAUCUAACAUCCAAAGACUAAGGACUGAUUCAUCCCCAGCUGCAGAUUCAUAUACCAUAGCCAGAGAACCUUCAAAAUCCAAAAUUUUGGACUUCUUUAUCCUUUUCUGUUCCACGUUAUAAUCAAGAAACGGUAAUACUACAAGUUCUCCAAACACAUCGUUGCGCAAAUCAAACGGCAAUAGCCCACCGUCACCUUCCAAAUACAACUUCCCACUAAUAUCAGGACCACAGGAUCUCUUCAGCCUAUUCCAAAAAGAUAUUCUAAUAGUAUCCGGAAUACGAAUCUUUUUCCAAGUAUCAGCCUUUGCGGAAUACAACUGUGCUUCUGGUUUAAGAUUCAUGCUAACAAUAAAACCUCGUAAGUCACGGACAACCUUUGUUACAAUCCAAAGAAUCUUGUAGUCGUUUCCAAUAGAAUCAAAACCAAACCCUAGACAAUGCCUUACACCAAAUGCAUAGUUGGGCACAGAAAGCAUCUUAUACUGUCUAGUACACGGAUUCCAAAUACAUAUACUAUCAUAACAAUCAUUAGAAAGACAAACAAGACCAUUACAAGAACGCAUGUAACGAACCUUACCCUCCCAAUGUGAUGGCAGUUUAAGCUCAACUGAAUCUUCCACAGUGUCCAUGGAGAGAACCCUCCAAUCAUAAGAGGCUUUGAGCACAGAUGCUUGUUUCUUCUAGGAAUUAGCCAGCUGGGCUUUAACAAACUGUGGGCUUUCUAUGAUAGAUAGCCAGGUUUUGCACACAGAUUUGCAGCGUAGAAGUGAUAUUACAGGAAGAUAGGAAAGUAUGAGGAACACCAUCUCUUCGGAUAAAUAAUUAUUACAUCUUUUAGUGGCCAUUGAGCACAAGAAAUGAUUAUGAGAAUAAUAAAGUUGCGUUUUGGUGUUCAGAUAGAGGUGGUAAGAAGAGGGGUGCGAGACUAGGCAUUCUGAACCCUAUUAUAUAUAUACCCGCUGUACCCUACACAGCGAACAGACGCCUCCCUCUAUUUCUUCACUUCGCGACUCUUCGCGUAAAUUCUUUUUCUUUAUCAGGGAAAACGUCAUCAAUCUGCCUAAACAAAUCUGCGGGAAUAAUAAUUUUUGCCAUAACAAGAAUUUAUUUCUAAAAAAGUUUUAAAUUACUAAUUCUGCCGGUUAAAUAUUCUUUUUCAAAUUUUCUUUUUAUGAAUUAAAAUAUUAUACUUAUAAUUUUAUUCACAAAAGUAAAAAUUUCAAAUAGGUGAUUAAAUUACUUAAAAGUACAUGAAAAAAAGUUAGGAGACUAACAUACCCACAAAAAGAAUAAUUAAUAUUUGGUCACAUUUCUUUGAUUAGAUAUAUUUUUUGAAAAUGUGAAAUAAUUAGAGCAUGUAUCAAUUCAUAGUAGAAUAUCUUAAUGGUAUUUGAUAAAAUAAUGAAGUCUUAAAUAUAAAAACAAUUUUUACAUUAAUUUCUUGAAAUAAUUAAGUAAAGUAUUAUGUUUAUUAUAAUUCCUGAAAAUUUAAUAUUAAUGUUAUUGAUAUCGAGUAAGCAUUAUUCUGAUUGGACAAUUUUUUUUUAAAAAAAAUCAGUUCAAGGAUCAAUUCAAAAAAACAUAUGUUAUUUUACCAUCAUAACUUGUUUUAAGAUUAUAAACAAUAAGAUAAUUAAUUCUUUUAGAGUGUAAAAGAAUUGGGGCGUACCUUCAAAAAUAAAAAUCUCCUGCAAAUUCCUUUCAAAAAUAUGUUUUUAGAUCAAUUGAACUUUAAAAAUUACAAUUUAAAACUUCUCCGAUCUAAUAUGCAACUCCAUUUUUAUUAUAUUUUUCUCAAUUGAUUUGAGAAGUAAUUCCCUUUUGUAAAUCGUAACUUUCAAAAAUGAAACUUAAAAACAGAAAUUUGAAUAUAUAUUUCAGAAAACCAUUUUUUCGAAACCAAGUUAAAAGUGUAGGGUGUUUCUUUAUAAUUUCCCUAAAUAAUACUGUCAAACAAGCCCGAAAUCCGUUUGCUUGCUUUGGAUAGCAUUUUCAAGUCAAAUAAUUAAACGAAUGGGAAAAGUCAUAUCUAGAAGCACAUAAGCAACUAUAUAUAUUCAAGCUUCACUACCAUAAAAUCCACAGCAUGCAGAUGAAAAAGGAGAAGCAACUUUUACCUAUCCGUCUAAACAUAAUAAUUUUUAGCAACCAACAAAUCCAUCCAUUAUACCUAGAACCUAAACUUACAAAGCAGGGUGUACUUGGUACUCAAUGACAAGGCAUUAGACUAAAUUCACUUGUGCCAUCUACAUGCACAAUUUACAAAACAAACAAGCUGGUCCAGUUAUAAACACAUUUGCCACAAUUCUGCCCGACUCUUCCUUUCCCUUAAAUGACCCUGCAAAAGAUUGCCAAUGUCAGUCUAAUAAGCACUUGAUAACAUUUGUGAACUGUCGCAAAAUUCUUUAGAGAACCAUAUUUCACCUUGGCAUUGCAUUAUAUUACAAAAAGAUGAAACAUAAAUAAUUGUGGCUCUUUAAUUGGUAGAAGUAGCGGCUUCUUUAAGUGUAGAAGUCCAGUACACCCUUUCUGUUUAUUUUAUCCAACUUUAACUUGUUAUGCUAAUUGCUUUUGUUUUAGUUUCAUUAGUUGGAAAAUGGUGAAUGUAUUGCACUUGCAAGAAACAGUAUCAUGUGACUUGUGUCUCUGGAUUUUAAACGAAUUUCUUAGCAAGUUUAUCUAUUAUCAAUUCAAACUCUUUUAAAAAUUAUAUUAUAAUGUACCAAACACUGCACGAACUUAUAAGUCAAAUUAUCCAAACACUAAAAAAAACUUACAAGUUCAAGUAACCAAACACUUAAAUUAAUGUUUGACAAAUUAACAAUGAGUUGAGAAUAGUAUUAUUAUUAUUACACACGCACUAACAAAAUCUCCUUCACAAGUCCUGAACAAUGAGUAGAAUACAAUACAAGAUGAAUAUCUUACCUAUAUUCCUCUAUUGAAUAAAUUGAAUUUCCUUUUCUUAGUUAGACUAGCUGGUAAAAGCAAAAAUAUAAUAACAAAUCUCAAAAAAAUUCUGCAAGAUAACGGUAACAUGGUAGAUCCACAAAAAACCAGGGUAAUGGAUCCAUACAUCACAGGUACUAGAGUGUCUGAUAUACUAUAAAUGCCGAUAUCACAGAGCAUACUCAAUCUUCAACAUUUUUCCUGUUUUAGGAAUUAGAACACAGUGAGAAUAUAUUGGGAUGACAGUAUUAUGUUUAUAAUUACUGCAGGGCCUGAUAAAGAACAAUGUAUGUAAGUUGACACAUACACGCAAUCUAGCUAAGAUAUUGAAAUGAAAGAUGCCAAGGGGAUCAACCAUUAAAUCCUAAUAAAGCAGGGUAGGAGCAUAUUGACAAUGUUUGUGGAAAAAAUUGAGUAAACACAAGGCAACCAUCUGUGAUUCUUUUUUUAAGUAUACUAAUAAUCAGAUACUCAAAAACUACUAUUAAUAACUAAGACUAGAGAGCAAAGAGGGUGUUGAUAUAUGUCUAAGAAGUUGGAAAGUGCCUAUAUACUGCAAGUACUGGUAAUAACUAUAUAUGUAAGGACGUCGUCCAUCAACUCUAACUUGAUCCACAAAUCUAAGUUAGCCAAGUGAGAUUACAGGAGCAGAGAUAUCACUUAUCCAAACAAUGUAUGUAAGUUCACUUGUUUAAAUAAUUAGAGUGAAUUAGGAAGUAUAUAUACAAUGAAACUACACUUACCAAAAAAAAUAAACUCGAAAAAUAAACAAACAAUAAUUCUACAAAAUGGAGCAUUCUUACACAAUAUUAGAGUUACUUGCGACUUCAUUCUUGUGAUUGAAACCCCUCAAGGGAAACAAGGCUCUGAGUGAACUUGGCAACUGACUUGACAUCGGUGAGAUGAGCUGGGAAAGGAAGCUUCUUAGUCGUUUUCUUUGUGUAGUUGUAAAAUUUGUAUCCAAAAACAAAAUUGAGUCCAAGAAAGUGUUGAGCGCCCAAAUAAAGAUACGUCCGAUCCAACUCCAAAUCCAUUUCAAGAUUGAACUUUUUAAUCCACAAGCCAUCAUCAUCUAACAUCCAAAGACUCAUAACUGAUUCAUCCCCAGCAGAUUCAUAUACCAUAGCCACAGAACCUUCAAAAUCCAAAAUCUUAGACUUCUUUAUCCUUUUCUGUUCCACGUAAUCAGGAAACGGUAACACCACAAUUUCUCCAAACAAAUCAUUCCGCAAAUCAAACGGCAAUAGCUCACCCUCCCCUUCCAUGUACAACUUCCCACUAAUAUCAGGACCACAGAAUCUCUUCAGCUUAUGCCAAAAAGACAUUUUAAUAGUAUCCGGAGUACGAAUCAUUUUCCAGGUAUCAGCAUUUGCGGAAUACAACUGUGCUUCUGAGAAGUUACCCAUGUUAAUAAUAAAACCCCAUGUGUUACGGGUAACCUUUGUUACAAUCCUAAGAAUCUUGUAGUCAUUUCCAACAGAAUCAAACCCAAACCCUAAACAAGCCCCGACAUUAUUUAUUGAAUAGUUGGGGGCAUUAAGCAUCUUAUACUGUCUAGUACACGGAUUCCAAAUACAAAUAUCAUAACUACUUUCAUUGGAAAGACAAACAAGACCAUUACAAGAACGCAUGUAAUAAACCAUACCCUCAAGACGUGAUGGCAAUUUAAGCUCAACUGAUUCUUCAACACUGUCCAUGGAGAAAACCCCCCAAUAAUAAGAGGCUUUGAGCACGGAUGCUUGUUUGUUCCUGGAAUUGGCAAGGUGGGCUUCAACAAACUGUGGGCUUUUUAUGAUGGAUAGCCAGGUUUUGCAGACUGAUUUGAAGCGGAGAAGUGAUAUUACAGGAAGAUAGGAAAGUAUGAGAAAAAUUAUCUCUUCGGAGAAAUAAUUAGUCGCCAUUGAGCCCUAGGAAUGAUGAUGAUAAAGUUGCGGUUCAGUGUUCCAGUUCUCAACUCUAUAUACCCGAUGUAUCCUACAUUCAAACGAACAGACACUCCCCCUAUUUCUUCACUCCCGACUCUUCGAUAAAUACACCAGAAAAACAUGAUUCAGAAAUAAACAGGUACAUUUUGCUUCGUAUUAAUAAAAUCAUUUGUUUGUCAAGAAAAAAAACAACAGCAUUUUGUCGAACAUUUAUGAGAAGGAUGUGGGGAAUCUUAAACUCUUCAUUUUUUUCGCGUAUUUAAUUUUUACUCUUUUUGGUUUUUUUUAUAUGUCACGUACCUUUAAGUGGGUUGACUGCAUAGUAAAAAUUAUUAUGAUUGACACUUUGCACCCCUUAUAUUUCGGCGCUUUUUCGAUUUGGUCUCAAACAUUUUUUUUUGACAGUAUGCACCCCAAAGUUUGAAAAGCGCUUCGCUUUGCACCCUUUUGACCAAUCUCCGUUAAUUGACCGUUAAAGUUAACAGAUUUCAGGUUUUCACUUUGCACCCCACAAUUUUAAUUUUUUUUCAUGAGUGUUUUGAAAUAUUUUUUUUCCAAAAUUAGACACUUUUGAAAUAUUUUUUUUCUAAAUUAGACACUAUUGCCUGCUGGUAUUAACGACAUUGUUUACAAAUGCCCUGAACUUCAUAAUAUUAAGAACAUGUGCCAUAGGAUGACAAAAUAAGUUAGGAACUUUUUAAAAGAUUGAUAAUAUCACUUCAGAGCCUGAGAAUGUUGGAGAUUUCAGCCAUAUUAAAAUUCUCAUAUUAUUCUGUGUAAAACGAAUUGCUAUUUAAAACGAACAAAAUUGAUGAUACCUGAUAAAUGCCCAGUAUCUUUGCAAGGCAGGUGGAGCUAUGUGAAGUGAUUGAUUCAGAUAAAUACUUUAAAUAUUCUGGAACGAAGUCGAUAAAAGACUUCAGUUCUGUCUUGGUAACCUGUUUAAUUAUAAACCUGUCAUCUAAGGUUUUUCAAAGAAGACAUUGCUCUUGCCACCCUGCGCUCCCCACUUCUUACAACGGCUAAGAGACCAUAUAUAAUCUAAUUCGUUGCAACAGAUCUUCCGCAAAGCCUUAAAUCUCCUUUCACAAUAACAAAUAACAAGUUACAGUGUACUUUACCUUCUCAAGUGGAACUUCAUCUGUAAAAGAAACCUUAGCAUGCAUAUUGUUGUUGUAUGAGAGCGAGUCCAACCCUGAGGAGGCUUGAGAACUGGACAUGGAUAAGAAGCUCUCAUCAGCAGAAGCAAGAGGCUUGAGAACAACAAUAGUGUCUAAUUUUGAAAAAAAAUAUUUCAAAAGUGUCUAAUUUUGAAAAAAAAUAUUUCAAAAUACUCAUGAAAAAAAAUUAAAAUUGUGGGGUGCAAAGUGAAAAUAUGAAAUCUGUUAACUUUAACGGUCAAUUAACGGUGAGUGGUCAAAGGGGUGCAAAACGAAGCGCUUUUCAAACUUUAGGGUGCAUACUGCCAAAAAAAAUUGUUUGAGACCAAAUCGAAAAAGCGCCUAAACAUAAGGGGUGCAAAGUGUCAAUCACUCUUGUGCACGGGUCGGUUCGGUUCGGUUUUUACCAAAAACCGUUACCAAACCGUGUAUGUCGGUUCGGUUCGGUUUCUAGGUAUUAACCGUAACCGAACCGUUCGGAACGGUUUUUCUCGGUUCGGUUAACCGUUUGUCGGUUUCGGUUUUUUUCGGUUUUCAAAUUUAAUAGUUUAUUCUCUUAAAUAUCAUGCUAAUAAAAAAAUUAUAAAUAUCAUAUUAACAUCGAUAAAAAUUAUAAAUAUCAUAUUAACAGUGCUCUCCAAACACAUCGUUGCGCAAAUCAAACGGCAAUAGCCCACCCUCACCUUCCAAAUACAACUUCCCACUAAUAUCAGGACCACAGGAUCUCUUCAGCCUAUUCCAAAAAGAUACUCUAAUAGUAUCCGGAAUACGAAUCUUUUUCCAAGUAUCAGCCUUUGCGGAAUACAACUGUGCUUCUGGUUUAAGAUUCAUGCUAACAAUAAAACCUCGUAAGUCACGGACAACCUUUGUUACAAUCCAAAGAAUCUUGUAGUCGUUUCCAAUAGAAUCAAAACCAAACCCUAGACAAUGCCUUACACCAAAUGCAUAGUUGGGCACAGAAAGCAUCUUAUACUGUCUAGUACACGGAUUCCAAAUACAAAUAUCAUAGCUACUUUCAUUGGAAAGACAAACAAGACCAUUACAAGAACGCAUGUAAUAAACCAUACCCUCAAGACGUGAUGGCAAUUUAAGCUCAACUGAUUCUUCAACACUGUCCAUGGAGAAAACCCCCCAAUAAUAAGAGGCUUUGAGCACGGAUGCUUGUUUGUUCCUGGAAUUGGCAAGGUGGGCUUCAACAAACUGUGGGCUUUUUAUGAUGGAUAGCCAGGUUUUGCAGACUGAUUUGAAGCGGAGAAGUGAUAUUACAGGAAGAUAGGAAAGUAUGAGAAAAAUUAUCUCUUCGGAGAAAUAAUUAGUCGCCAUUGAGCCCUAGGAAUGAUGAUGAUAAAGUUGCGGUUCAGUGUUCCAGUUCUCAACUCUAUAUACCCGAUGUAUCCUACAUUCAAACGAACAGACACUCCCCCUAUUUCUUCACUCCCGACUCUUCGAUAAAUACACCAGAAAAACAUGAUUCAGAAAUAAACAGGUACAUUUUGCUUCGUAUUAAUAAAAUCAUUUGUUUGUCAAGAAAAAAAACAACAGCAUUUUGUCGAACAUUUAUGAGAAGGAUGUGGGGAAUCUUAAACUCUUCAUUUUUUUCGCGUAUUUAAUUUUUACUCUUUUUGGUUUUUUUUAUAUGUCACGUACCUUUAAGUGGGUUGACUGCAUAGUAAAAAUUAUUAUGAUUGACACUUUGCACCCCUUAUAUUUCGGCGCUUUUUCGAUUUGGUCUCAAACAUUUUUUUUUGACAGUAUGCACCCCAAAGUUUGAAAAGCGCUUCGCUUUGCAGCCUUUUGACUAAUCUCCGUUAAUUGACCGUUAAAGUUAACAGAUUUCAGGUUUUCGCUUUGCACCCCACAAUUUUAAUUUUUUUUCAUGAGUGUUUUGAAAUAUUUUUUUUCCAAAAUUAGACACUUUUGAAAUAUUUUUUUUCUAAAUUAGACACUAUUGCCUGCUGGUAUUAACGACAUUGUUUACAAAUGCCCUGAACUUCAUAAUAUUAAGAACAUGUGCCAUAGGAUGACAAAAUAAGUUAGGAACUUUUUAAAAGAUUGAUAAUAUCACUUCAGAGCCUGAGAAUGUUGGAGAUUUCAGCCAUAUUAAAAUUCUCAUAUUAUUCUGUGUAAAACGAAUUGCUAUUUAAAACGAACAAAAUUGAUGAUACCUGAUAAAUGCCCAGUAUCUUUGCAAGGCAGGUGGAGCUAUGUGAAGUGAUUGAUUCAGAUAAAUACUUUAAAUAUUCUGGAACGAAGUCGAUAAAAGACUUCAGUUCUGUCUUGGUAACCUGUUUAAUUAUAAACCUGUCAUCUAAGGUUUUUCAAAGAAGACAUUGCUCUUGCCACCCUGCGCUCCCCACUUCUUACAACGGCUAAGAGACCAUAUAUAAUCUAAUUCGUUGCAACAGAUCUUCCGCAAAGCCUUAAAUCUCCUUUCACAAUAACAAAUAACAAGUUACAGUGUACUUUACCUUCUCAAGUGGAACUUCAUCUGUAAAAGAAACCUUAGCAUGCAUAUUGUUGUUGUAUGAGAGCGAGUCCAACCCUGAGGAGGCUUGAGAACUGGACAUGGAUAAGAAGCUCUCAUCAGCAGAAGCAAGAGGCUUGAGAACAACAAUAGUGUCUAAUUUUGAAAAAAAAUAUUUCAAAAGUGUCUAAUUUUGAAAAAAAAUAUUUCAAAAUACUCAUGAAAAAAAAUUAAAAUUGUGGGGUGCAAAGUGAAAAUAUGAAAUCUGUUAACUUUAACGGUCAAUUAACGGUGAGUGGUCAAAGGGGUGCAAAACGAAGCGCUUUUCAAACUUUAGGGUGCAUACUGCCAAAAAAAAUUGUUUGAGACCAAAUCGAAAAAGCGCCUAAACAUAAGGGGUGCAAAGUGUCAAUCACUCUAUUUUUAAUUGAUUUUUUUUGUGAAUUAAAGUUUUGAUCAUAUAUUUUUAUUCAGAAAAAUAAAUUUUCAAAAAUAAUAUUUUUAACUAUCCAGUCACGUCUACAAGCACAUAAGCAAGUACAUAAGCAUUUUCAGUGACAUAUAUUUUCUAUUUUUUCAAUUGAUAAAAUAUUAAUGAAUCUCUGUCAAACUUUAGUCAAGUUUACUGACACACAACCAAAAAUGAAGAGACGGAGGGAGUAAUAUUUAGCAAACGAACAAAUCCAUCCAAUAUAAGGAAGACCUAGAUAUACCAAAAGUUUGAACCUAAAUUUACAAAGCAGGGUGUACUUCGUACUUAAUGACAAGGCAUUGUUAGACUAAUUCACUUGUGCUCUCUACAUGCACAAUUUACAAAACAAACAAGCUGGUCCAGUUAUAAACACAUUUGCCACAACUCUGCCUGACUCUUCCUUUCCCUUGAAUGACC